GUUAUUUUAAAAAAAAAAAAAAUCCAUGAGCAGGGGUCGUGUUGUUCUAACUGAUUCCCUUUUACAAUUUUGCAAACAUGUUUCCUUCAGAAGAAAACGUCUUUGUCAAUCUAAAAUAUGUUUAUGUUUACUUUGGUAAUAUGUUAUACAAAGCUUUCAUCAAGUAAACCAAUUACUUCUGAGAAGGACAACUAAGAAUAGCUUUUCCUAGACAAAGCAAUUAAGAACUGCAAGACUAGGGAGAAAGCAUAAAAUUGUAUGAAGGAAUUCACAGGGAGAAGAAACCAAUGCCGCACAGCAAAAAUAUAAUACAAGCAAAGAUUGAACAAAGAAAAGCAUUUUAGCUAAAACACAAUGCAAAAGUAACAUCUGUUCUCAAGGGGGCACAUCAAAUACAAUGAUCUGAACCUAUGAGAUUCCAAAUUGAAUUUUCAGUCCAAAUUUUAUUGGGUAAAACAGCAUGACCUGUUGUUUUGAUGAACAAAAAUAAUGGAAAAG
rnacentral:misc_RNA from 1 species